AAUGAAUUGCCUGAUAAAAAGGAUUACCUUGAUAGGGUAAAUUAUGUAAUACUCAUUACAUUAAUUA
rnacentral:tRNA from 1 species